UAUGUCAACAUAGCAGAAGCGUACGACGUCCUGGAAUUUCAAGAACUUGACGGUGUAAUAGAUCUUUUCUUUGCUAAAGAUUUGUUUGAGACAUCUCAACCUGUCGUUCCAGUAGCAUCCAUUCAAACUAAUCCAGUUAAAUUUAAUGGGAAAGUUCAAGUAGUGGUUAUAUGAAAAAUGAUCUGAUGUUCACAUGAUCUCAAGGGUUUGCCGAACCUCAAUCGAGUUUAACCCCAACAAGGAAUAUUAUACAUCAAAACUUGUCAUCUGCCUGUGCAAUUUCUAGUAUAAGUUUAUCAUCAUUUGGAACAAAUGGUUAAAUUACUAUUCAAGAUGACUAAUUUAAAAAACAAGAACAACAAUAUGUGGUUGGAAUGAUCCAAGGCUCUGUUCAAAGAUAUUUUAUUCACAUGACAGUGAUGCUUGUUAAAUAAAACUUGUGAAUUUAACAGAUAAUGACCAUUGAUAAACACUAAAGGCAAAUAGAAAUGCACAAAAAAAUCCAUAAGCUUAUGAUAAUAAUGAUUAAACAUACAUUAUGCAAGAGCUAAAUCUGCCUAUUGCAGGUUUUCUUUAGGCCUGAAAUGUUUUCUAAAUUAUUAAUUAGACAUUAAUUAACUUAUCCAGGCCCUAAUCAACUCUCGAUAGCAUCGGAUUUCUCCAAUAUUAAACAGAUUAGAACAGUUCAGCCAUAUUUUGAUUUAAGCUAAAAAUGGAGGAGUGAGACUACUUCGAACAACCAGUACGAUGGUUGAAAUUAUUGCACACGUCUUGUCAAACCUUCAAAGGCCUUCAAAGGCUAAUAUCUUCGCUCGCAAUAGAGUAAUUUGAAUGAAAUUUUCAAAUUAUUCAUUUUACAUUAUUUAUCUUCGAACUAUUAUAGCAAGAAUGGCUAGCUCUUUAUCAAAAUCUUACAUAAUGUAUAUUUAAGAAUAAUUUAAUACAUUUAUAAAGCUCACACAUUACAAGUUGUGCACCUGUAUAAAAUUUGUAUAAAUUUUGUUAUCAUUGUUAAUAUUUUAUACUGAGAUGCAAUAAAAAUAAUACAUCACUUUUAUAAAUGGAUGAAUGUAAAUCUUGUUUGAAAUGAAUCCAGGUUUAACGCCCUACUUAGUACU